rnacentral:rRNA from 1 species
UACGGAGGGUGCAAACGUUGCUCGGAAUCAUUGGGCGUAAAGCGCGUGCAGGCGGCUUGUUAAGUCAAGUGUGAAAGCCCUGGGCUUAACCCAGGAAGUGCGCUUGAUACUGACAGGCUAGAGUACGGGAGAGGGUAGCGGAAUUCCCGGUGUAGAGGUGAAAUUCGUAGAUAUCGGGAGGAACACCAGUGGCGAAGGCGGCUAUCUGGACCGAUACUGACGCUGAGACGCGAAAGCGUGGGGAGCAAACAGG